UGACCCCAUCUCAUGCGAGAGCACCCGCUCAGUUUAAGCAUAUAAUUAAGCAGAGGAAAAGAAACUUACAAGGAUUCCCCUAGUAAUGGCGAGCAAACCGGGAAGAACCCAGCAUGAAAAUCAGGUGGCAGUGUCACCUGAAUUGUAGUCUGUAGAAGCGUCCUUAGCAGAAGACCAGGCCCAAGUCCCCUGGAAGGGGGCGCCUGAGAGGGUGAUAGCCCCGUCGGGCCGGGACCCUACCGCACCACGAGGCAUUGUUGGCGAGUCAGGUUGUUUGGGAAUGCAGCCCUAAUCGGGUGGUAAAUUUUGUCCAAGGAUAAAUACGGGCAAGAGACUAAUAGAGAAAAAGUACCGUGAGGGAAAGAUGAAAAGGACUUUGAAAAGAGAGUUAAAGAGUGCGUGAAAUUGCCAGGAGGGAAGCAGAUGGAGGCCGAUGAUGUGUCUUGAUUGGAUGCGAAAUGGCUCAAGCUGGUCCAUCACUCGACUUGAGGUGUGAACCAUCACAGGUCGUUGCACCAGCAUAAGCACAGGUGGAGUACUGCCGGUUGGUUUUCCAUUGUGGCAGUCGAGGAACAAAGCGUGCACCCUUGGGACGGGCCACUAUGAACCUACAUGCUCGUGGUGUUGGUUGGCGGGCUUUCCAUUCAACCCGUCUUGAAACACGGACCAAGGAGUCUAACAUGUGUGCGAGUAGGUGGGUUUGUAAACCUGUGAGGUGUAAGGAAGUUGACGGGCGAGAACCCCUCUCCAUGGGGUGCAUUAUCGACCGACCGGGAGCUUGUGCGAAGGUUUUGAGUGAGAGCACACCUGUUGGGACCCGAAAGAUGGUGAACUAUGACUGAGUAGGGCAAAGCCAGAGGAAACUCUGGUGGAGGCCUGUAGUGAUACUGAUGUGAAAAUCAUUUGUCUGACUUGGGUAUAGGGGUGUAGGGAAGAAGAGAUGAUAAAAAAGAAAAAUGAUGACAUCGCAUCCUUAAGAAAACAGUUGAAACUCUCACCCACAGAGGAUUCACAGGUGAAGGAGAUAGCAGAAAAGGAAGGUGAGAAGGAUGAGAUGCUAAAGUUACUCAUGGAGCAGAAUGCUCAGCUAAAAGAGAUGGACACUGAGAUGGAGAGACUCCUAAAGGAGAAAUAGAAAAUGAAGCCAAUGGAAGGCAUUCCAUUGAGUGCUAUCCCAAUUGCAGGAUUGAGCACAGCAAUAGUGACAACCAUUCCGUCUGCUACACCAGUGUCACUACCAGAAGGAACAACAGACCUUGCCAAGUCCAUGGAGAAGAUGAAACUGCAAGAGAUAGAAAUCAGCAGGCUUAAGAAAGAAGUAGAGAACCUCUAGGAUCUCAAGACUUCUUUCCAAACAAGACUAUACAAAGAAAAGUAGGUAAAUGAGCAUAUCAGGAAGGAGUUACAGCAGCUCCAAAAGAAUACAAUGGCAGAGAAGACUUUGGCUGAGGUCAAAGAGAUUGUAUGGACAUAUAUCAUCAAGUCCAUAAAUGAAAUCUGGCCAAUGAUUCAAAUCAUGUUUGAACAAAAUGAGUU
rnacentral:ncRNA from 1 species